rnacentral:rRNA from 1 species
GACGAACGCUGGCGGCGUGCCUAAUACAUGCAAGUAGAACGCUGAAGAGAGGAGCUUGCUCUUCUUGGAUGAGUUGCGAACGGGUGAGUAACGCGUAGGUAACCUGCCUUGUAGCGGGGGAUAACUAUUGGAAACGAUAGCUAAUACCGCAUAACAAUGGAUGACACAUGUCAUUUAUUUGAAAGGGGCAAUUGCUCCACUACAAGAUGGACCUGCGUUGUAUUAGCUAGUAGGUGAGGUAAUGGCUCACCUAGGCACGAUACAUAGCCGACCUGAGAGGGUGAUCGGCCACACUGGGACUGAGACACGGCCCAGACUCCUACGGGAGGCAGCAGUAGGGAAUCUUCGGCAAUGGGGGCAACCCUGACCGAGCAACGCCGCGUGAGUGAAGAAGGUUUUCGGAUCGUAAAGCUCUGUUGUAAGUCAAGAACGGGUGUGAGAGUGGAAAGUUCACACUGUGACGGUAGCUUACCAGAAAGGGACGGCUAACUACGUG